AACGGCCAUGCCAUGCUGAAUAUACCGGUUCUCGUUAGAUCACCGAAGUCAAGCAUCAUUGGGCGCGGUAAGUAAAAGUGCUGGGUGGGUGACCACCUGGGAAACCACAUGCCGUU